rnacentral:rRNA from 1 species
AGUCGACGGCAGCCGGGAGCAUCCUGGUGGCGAGUGGCGAACGGGUGAGUAAUACAUCGGAACGUGCCCAGUAGUGGGGGAUAACCCGGCGAAAGCCGGACUAAUACCGCAUACGACCUACGGGUGAAAGCAGGGGAUCGCAAGACCUUGCGCUAUCGGAGCGGCCGAUGUCAGAUUAGCUUGUUGGCGGGGUAAAAGCCCACCAAGGCGACGAUCUGUAGCUGGUCUGAGAGGACGACCAGCCACACUGGGACUGAGACACGGCCCAGACUCCUACGGGAGGCAGCAGUGGGGAAUUUUGGACAAUGGGCGCAAGCCUGAUCCAGCCAUGCCGCGUGCGGGAAGAUGGCCUUCGGGUUGUAAACCGCUUUUGUCAGGGAAGAAACGCUCCGGGCUAAUACCUCGGAGUAAUGACGGUACCUGAAGAAUAAGCACCGGCUAACUACGUGCCAGCAGCCGCGGUAAUACGUAGGGUGCAAGCGUUAAUCGGAAUUACUGGGCGUAAAGCGUGCGCAGGCGGCUUUGCAUGACUGAUGUGAAAUCCCCGGGCUUAACCUGGGAACUGCUUUUGUGACUGCAUGGCUGGAGUGCGG